rnacentral:lncRNA from 1 species
UUAUUUCUUUUUUUUUAAAUUUUUUUCCUUCUUUAUUUUCUUUUCCUCUGCUAUCUUUUUUUUUCCUUUCCUAUUUCUUUCUUUUUCUUCUCAUUUUCUAUCUCUUUUUUAUUUUUCUUCUUUUUUUCCUUUCAUUGUUUCUUUUCUUUAUCUUCCUUUCCUUCUUCCUUGUUUCUUCUUCUUCUUGCAUGGAUGGAUUUCAGUAUCCCAGGCCCAUCCUGGUCCUAUUUUUUCAUAAAAAUGGAAUGGGACGACUGGGACGCCUCCUAUCCUACUUAGACGUAAAAUCUUGUAUAAGAUAUCUCUUUACAAUAUCAUAAAACAACACUAAAAUAAAUAAUAAAUAACCUAAUAACUAAAUCAAAUAUUUUAUAAGGUAAUAUUCCAUAGUUUUGCAUCAAGUUCAAAUCCUAAUUUAAAAUAAAAAUAUCAAAGUUUGUUUCUAAUUCGCUUUUCC